UACGUAGGGUGCAAGCGUUGUCCGGAAUUAUUGGGUGUAAAGAGCUCGUAGGUGGCUUGUUGCGUCUGCCGUGAAAGCCCGUGGCUUAACUACGGGUCUGCGGUGGAUACGGGCAGGCUAGAGGCUGGUAGGGGCAAGCGGAAUUCCUGGUGUAGCGGUGAAAUGCGCAGAUAUCAGGAGGAACACCGGUGGCGAAGGCGGCUUGCUGGGCCAGUUCUGACGCUGAGGAGCGGAAGCGUGGGGAGCGAACAGG
rnacentral:rRNA from 1 species